GGAGUUAGCCGGUGCUUCUUCUGUGAGUGAUGUCCUUCCUGCCGGUUAUUGACCCGCAGGCCUUCUUCCUCACUGAAAGUGCUUUACAACCCGAAGGCCUUCUUCACACACGCGGCAUGGCUGGAUCAGGGUUGCCCCCAUUGUCCAAUAUUCCCCACUGCUGCCUCCCGUAGGAGUCUGGGCCGUGUCUCAGUCCCAGUGUGGCUGAUCAUCCUCUCAUACCAGCUACGGAUCGUCGCCUUGGUGAGCCGUUACCUCACCAACCAGCUAAUCCGACAUAGGCUCAUCCGAUAGCGCGAGGCCCGAAGGUCCCCCGCUUUCCCCCGUAGGGCGUAUGCGGUAUUAGCCUGGGUUUCCCCAGGUUAUCCCCCACUACCGGGCAGAUUCCUAUGCAUUACUCACCCGUCCGCCGCUCGCCACCAGGGAGCAAGCUCCCCGUGCUGCCGCUCGACUUGCAUGUGUUAGGCCUGCCGCCAGCGUUCAAUCUGAACCAGGAUCAAACUCUGA
rnacentral:rRNA from 1 species